UUCGCCGCCGGAGUUGUUGUGAGAAGUUCAUUAAACCUUAUCAUUUAGAGGAAGGAGAAGUCGUAACAAGGUCUCCGUAGGUGAACCUGCGGAAGGAUCAUUGAACACACGAUCUGGAAAAAACACUGCGAACUGUCACUUUGUACCCCGAGGGAUCGUGCUGGGAGGCACGGUCGUCGGAGUCUCGAGUAGAGGAUGCAUGUGCCUCACCCGUGAUCCCGCUGUUGGUGCGGGGGGGGGAAGACAGACUCGGGUGCUCCGUCNNAAAACCCCCCACACGCGGGGGUCCGUGCUCCUGGACAGAAAGGCGUCAAAAGAGAGCAGCCCCCUUGGAAGUCGGACAUUCGGGAGAGGAGCCAACUCACUUCGGGCCGCGGGGUCAGCUCUCGCCACGGCGGGGCGCUGCGCGGCUCGAGAUCCGGAGAGUGUUCCCCUCCCCCCGGGGAGGGGAGCUGGGAUCAUCCUUGGGGGGGGGCCUUUGCGAGGGCCGCCCAUUGGAGAGCCAUCCCUCCCCUGGUGCCCCUUUUUUUUUUUUCUCCAAAAAGAAGUUGAACAAAACAACGGAUGGGGUUAGGUGAGGAACACGCGGGCCGCCGGGGAAGCACCCCCUGUGGGGGCGGAGCCUCGCCGGCCGGGCAAAUUUCAGCAAUGUCACAAAAACACAAAUGACUCUCAGCAACGGAUAUCUUGGCUCUUGCAACGAUGAAGAACGCAGCGAAAUGCGAUACCUAGUGUGAAUUGCAGAAUUCCGCGAAUCAUCGAGUUUUUGAACGCAAGUUGCGCCCGAGGCUUGUUCCAAGGGCAUGCCUGCCUGAGCGUCCGCUCCAACCCACCCACCAGCCUCCCGCCCCCCCUCUCCAUGGGGACGUGGGAGGCAAUGCGAGUGGAACUGGUCGUCCGGGAACCCGCCCGGAUUCCCCUUUUGGGGUUGAAGGGCUAAGGAUUCACGGUUGGCUGAAACGUGUUGGCCGUCCGUCAAGCACGCGCUAGGGUCGUGGUGCGUUGCGAGAAGGUGCCAUCCGGCUCUCGCCCAUCUGGGGACGGGAGACGGACGUUCAUAUGUGAAAGCUUUGCAUCGCCCCCUGCGCAGGCGAGGGUUGGCGGAUUGGCUAAGAAGGACAUGGGGACGACAGCGGGCCCGCUCGGUGCAUCCUUGUCCCAUCCAGGACACUCCCUCUUGCGAGGGGGUUUCUGGAAGGGAGAUGUGCGGGCGGGCCCACGUGCAUCGCGUUGCUAGGACCUCAGAUCAGGCAAGACCACCCGCUGAGUUUAA
rnacentral:rRNA from 1 species